rnacentral:lncRNA from 1 species
UAGACAUUUAUUUUGUUUAUUUUUAUGUGGUGCUGAGGAUUGAACCCAGUGCCUCACACAUACUAGGCAAGUGCUUUACCACUGAGCCACAACCCCAGCCCUGAUAUUUCCCCUUUUAAGCCUGAAAGGUUCCUAUAAACCUGUGAUCUCCAUAUUUGUGUCUUCAGAAUUUCGUGGCACAGUGUAUGGGUCUGCCUUUGAAUUUCUAGAAACCAGAAACUGGAAGUUCUUGGAUGCCUCCCUUCCCCUUUUAUAUUCAAUCCAUAUGAGUCCUUGGAUUUUACCACAUGAAUAUCUCUUGAAUCUCUAUUUAUAGAGUCAUUAUUCAUUAGAUUUUCACAGUGACCAUAUCAUGUAACCCAAUACCCAGGUCAAGAAAUAGAACAUUUUCAGAACCUUAGAAGCUCAUGUACCAUGAGUACAUUUUCUCUUUAAAGUGAAAAUAUACUCAUGGUUAAAGAUUUUCAGUUGCUUCACAUUGCCCUUAGGGUAAAGACCAAUCAUAAUAUGAUAUGCAAGACCCUGAGUGAUAUCACUCUGUUUUUUGUAACCAACCUCAUGUUUUACUACUCUUCUCACUUUCUAUAUUAUAGCCCUUCUGGCCAACUUACAAUUCUUUAAAUGUGCUACGCUCUUCGCUUUUCCUGAAAAAUUCUGUGUGCACACACCUUUCCAUACUCAUCUUUCACAUUUGGGUGCUUCAUCAAAUUCUUUGGAUGUAACAGGUUGAUGAGGCCCAAAUACACCUUGUGUGCUCUCAUGGGUUUUUAUCUUUAUUCAUUUGUAUAUGAUUAUUUCCCUCCAUUAUUUUUAAGUUUUAUAAGUCAGGAAUUAUUCCUAUUUUGCUUACUGUUGCAUAGUUACCAACUAGUAUGAUGGCUGGGAAAGAAUGCUGUUUAGUAUCCAUUCAAUAAAUCAAUACAAGUUGUUCCAGCUUUUUGUGGGCUGAAUUGUGUCCUCUUAAAUUCAUAUACUGAAUUUAAGUCUGAAUUUCUAAUGCUUAGGUUGUCACUAUAUUUGGAGAUAAUGCCUUGAAGAGGUAAUCAGGGUAAAAUGGGUGGGCCCCAAUCAAUAUGAGUGGUGUCCUUGUAAGAGGAGAAGACUAAGACACAUACAAAGUGAUGACCAUGUGAAGACACUGGAGGAAGAUGGCCAUCUACAAGCCAAGAAGAGGGGCUUUGGAAGGAACUAACCCUGCCAACACCUUCAUCUUGGACUUCAAGCCUUCAGAAGUGUGAGAAAAUAAAUUUCUGUUGUUUAAGCCACCUAGACUGUGAUAGUUUGUUAUGGCAACCUGCUGUGUUUUGAAUGUGUUCGCCUCAAAUUUUUGUGUUGGAAGCCUGCUCCCUUAAUUUAUGUUAUUGGUCUAGUGGUGGUGGGGGCCUUUGGGAGGAGGUGGUUUGGAUUAGAUAAAGUUAUGGAACAGGACCCCUACUAUGGCAUUAGUGGCUUUGCAAGAGCAAAGCUAACACAUUGCACUGUCUUGCCAUGUGUUGCAGCAUGUUAUAAAGCAAAAAGAC